GUAGCGCCACACAAUCAUCUAUACAAUGCAAAAAAGUGGAAUUGAGAUCAUUCGUAUCUUAUGCCUUAAUAGAUACCCUAUGCGUGUGUAUUUUCCCUUCUCAGCAAAAUUGCGUGUGACGUCGGUCAGACUCUUAAAUUCAGUUUUUGCUUUGGCCUUACUUAACAUCUUCAUCCAGCCCAUUUGAAGGUAUCGUGUCUCACACUUCAGCCUCAAAAUAUCGGGCGGGGGUGCGAAUCUGAUCGCCCACUCGUGCUUUCGCGCUGUGAUGAAGUGAGGUUUCACCAGCAGGGAAGCGCCGGGCUCUACAGCAGCCAGGUGCGCUCUGGUGAAUUUGACUCCACGAACCAGCUACGGGCUCCUGCGGUCCGUCCUUUCGAAAAAGUGACGCGAAAAACUCCACUGAGCAGAGCGAUCUGGGGUUAGAUUCCCCUUUGAGAAAGACGUCAACAAAGCCUUAAUCUUGGGUGACGAUAAAGACAGCGUGGACAUGUGGGGAUCCAAAAUUCCACCGAGACGCUCUGAGACAGAAGAAGAUCAUCCAGUUAAAAGCGAUGGCGUUGGAUACAACUGGUUACUGAGAUCGGAAUGAAAAGAAGGUGUAAUCCAGUUUUGAACAAAACCACGCUUUUAUUUAAAAUGGUGAGGCCGAAUUUACAUUUAUGGAGCGUCUUUUCGGCGGGAGGUUUAUGUUGUAGUUGACACGUCUGGUAGCUGAAGACUUCAGCACAGAGCAUGUAGGACCUUCACAAACUUCAUAUACACCUGCCUUUAUUAAAAUAUAAGGGUUUGUAAACUGGGUAAUGGAGUUUUACAUAUUUGAAAUACCCCAAUAGGAUAAAUAGCGAAAAUGAAUUUGCCAUAAAGUGUUUCCUAACUUACCACCGAAUUGUUGCACGGAAACGGACACCGGUUGGGCCUGUAUUAGCAACACGCGGACUCUUGGAGGACAGGGACAGAAAGAUACCUGUUACAGAGCGCGUUUAGCACGCACCAUUUCUUAGUUCCCUCUUUCUUUUUCUUAUAAUCCCACAUUGAAACAGCAAGCUGACUUGUCACCGCUUUAAUAAACGGAGCACGUUCGUCUCGGACCUCUGGAAACUGCACGAUCUUGCUUUCUGAACAGAAUUUUAGG